CCUCGGGUGACGAGUGGCGGACGGGUGAGUAAUGUCUGGGGAUCUGCCCGAUAGAGGGGGAUAACCACUGGAAACGGUGGCUAAUACCGCAUAACGUCGCAAGACCAAAGAGGGGGACCUUCGGGCCUCUCACUAUCGGAUGAACCCAGAUGGGAUUAGCUAGUAGGCGGGGUAACGGCCCACCUAGGCGACGAUCCCUAGCUGGUCUGAGAGGAUGACCAGCCACACUGGAACUGAGACACGGUCCAGACUCCUACGGGAGGCAGCAGUGGGGAAUAUUGCACAAUGGGCGCAAGCCUGAUGCAGCCAUGCCGCGUGUAUGAAGAAGGCCUUCGGGUUGUAAAGUACUUUCAGCGGGGAGGAAGGCAGUGAGGUUAAUAACCUUAUUGAUUGACGUUACCCGCAGAAGAAGCACCGGCUAACUCCGUGCCAGCAGCCGCGGUAAUACGGAGGGUGCAAGCGUUAAUCGGAAUUACUGGGCGUAAAGCGCACGCAGGCGGUCUGUUAAGUCAGAUGUGAAAUCCCCGGGCUUAACCUGGGAACUGCAUUUGAAACUGGCAGGCUUGAGUCUCGUAGAGGGGGGUAGAAUUCCAGGUGUAGCGGUGAAAUGCGUAGAGAUCUGGAGGAAUACCGGUGGCGAAGGCGGCCCCCUGGACGAAGACUGACGCUCAGGUGCGAAAGCGUGGGGAGCAAACAGGAU
rnacentral:rRNA from 1 species